ensembl:lncRNA
GUCAGUGGAACAGACCAGGGAAUAGAGUGUCAUGAGGUCAGUGGAACAGACCAGGGAAUAGAGUGUCAUGAGGUCAGUGGAACAGACCAGAGAAUAGAGUGUCAUGAGGUCAGUGGAACAGACCAGGGAAUAGAGUGUCAUGAGGUCAGUAUAACAGACCAGAGAAUAGAGUGUCAUGAGGUUAGUGGAACAGACCAGGGAAUAGAGUGUCAUGAGGUCAGUAUAACAGACCAGAGAAUAGAGUGUCAUGAGGUCAGUGGAACAGACCAGAGAAUAGAGUGUCAUGAGGUCAGUGGAACAGACCAGGGAAUAGAGUGUCAUGAGGUCAGUGGAACAGACCAGGGAAUAGAGUGUCAUGAGGUCAGUAUAACAGACCAGAGAAUAGCAGGAAGAGGGUUAACUGGGACAGUGGCAGGAGAACACUAGCACUACUGCCAAUAUUUGGAGGACUUUUGAAGCGGUUACUCUCCCUCCAUGGUAAUGGCAACCUGCCUGCCCACUACAAGGACAACACAACAAUAUACACAUUGAUAAAGUCAUUUCUCAGAAGCUUUGCAUGCACAUGCAGUAUUACAAAAUACAGUUAGAUCAUCAGAGUAUAUAGACCUAUUGAAAAAGUGUAAAAUCCAGUGCGACAGUCAUUAAAUUGGUUGAGGUUAACAUGGUUGUAGUAGGUAAAGGACAGGGCAGUGAGAUGAUCCAUUUACAAAGAAGAUGCUCCGUCUCCAUUUGGUCUCCCCUUUUCUGGGAAGAAAACAAGUAUUUGUGCACCGAAUAGAACGUUAGACAAAGCUCCUCCCACUAAUAAAUGCUCCUAGUUUGGAAGUUGCGGGGUUGAGGUGCGUAUUUGGGGUCACAUUAGUUGGUCUGAUCAAAAUGCUGCCUCCUGCGGAUUCUGAAGUAGUGGUCAGCUAUUCCACUGUGGCUGCUGCCAACUUUUGGUUGAUUUCAGGUCACAGAGGAAUGGUGUGGUGUGAGCAUUAGGAAGAGGGCCAACAAUACAAGACCUGCACAACCGUGGUGCAGCAGUAGUGUUGUUGAGUCUCUGAAUGGGUCAUCUUACUGAUUUAACACAUUUAAAAGAAGCAUCCCUGAUUCCCCAAACAUUUCCAUUAAAGACUAAAAGCCUUUUCCAUCAUGAUUGUAAUUCUUCAAUCUCAAUCUUCAAACUACAAGCCCUUUUAUUCAAGGGCAAAUACAUGUUUGGAAAAGCAGAAAGAAAGGACCACACAGACAGAAAAGUACAUAAAAACUGUUUAUAAAAAGCAUCUGAAGAUCCAAAAAUCCUUCCUUGCCCUAAAAAACAAAAUGUCCUCCCUCUUUCGAACCACAGCAUGAAAGAGAAAGGAGGCAGUCACUCUAGCCUUGCACUCCCAUGGGGGCCAAAAGUGGCCCCUGAACUUAAUAGUACAUUUUCAUAAUUUGAAUGAAGAUGGAAUAAAGAUCCCCAGACAAGAGGAGGCUGGAGACAUUCCAUCAUAGCUGUGUCUCUACACACCCAGAGUCAAAAUCCAACUCAAACUCAUCAAGGUACAGUCACACUCCAGGUUCCCAUAAAAAAACAUCCUCUAUUUCACAUGACUUAACAUUCCUGAAAGCAGUCAGAGGGACAGCCCUCACUCCCCAAACCCUGGAACACAACAAUACUGUCCAACCCCACUAAUACAGUGGGAGGGACCAGACAGACAUAACCUGCUCUCAUGGCUUGUUGUUGGACGUCCUGUUAGCUGUUAGAAUGUGUUGUUAUUGACCUUCUGCUUGUGCUCGUACAAUAGAAGCCAUAUUGCCAUGACUAUUCUGAUAACUAGUAGUCUACACUCUUAAAUAACCUUUGUACUUGUUUAUUACAGGUGAUCAUCUUGUGUCAUUUAUGAAAAAUACAUCAGCAAUUUUUUUAAUGAUUUCCUUUACUUUAAAGUCGUGCUGUGUGUGUGCGCUUGGGCGAGUGUGUGGCCAAUAAAUCUCCUCUUCAUUGCUUUGCGGUCCAUUUAACCAAGACACAUACACACAGUAUUGUGCCAGUGCAGUGGGUCUCUGUUCAGCCCAGCCUAGCCCACCUGCCAUUGGCUUAUUGUUGAUCAAUACCUCUCAGCAGCACAAUGAAUCCAGUGUCAGAGAAGAGAGGGACAGAGCUAGAGACAGAGGGAUGGAGCGAGGAGGGGGGGUGGUGACAGAGCUAGGGAGAGAGGGACAGAGCUAGGGACAGAGCUAAGGAGAGAGGAACAGAGCUAGGGACAGAGCUAGGGAGAGAGGGACAGAGCUAGGGAGAGAGGGACAGAGCUAGGGACAGAGGGAUGGAGCGAGGAGGGAGGGACAGAGCUAUAGAGGGAUGGAGCGAGGAGGGGGUGACAGAGCUAGGGACAGAGCUAGGGAGAGAGGGACAGAGCUAGUGACAGAGGGACAGAGCUAGGAGAGAGGGACAGAGCUAGGGACAGAGCUAGGGAGAGAGGGACAGAGCUAGUGACAGAGGAAUGGGGAG